GCCCAAAUAGUCUAGAGGUAGGAUUCAUCCUUCGGGGUCUGUUGGCUUCGGCUCUCAAAAGAGCUCAGUAUGGAUGAGGCCCGCGUUCGAAUCGCGGUUUGGGCC